GGACUUUAGUUAAAAAACAAAUCUAAAACAUUAUCGAGUUUGAAAUCCUAAACGUUUCGCUAAUUAGCUACGUCCGGUACUGUGAUGUAAUCCAACGUGAAUAUGUGAGAUUAGUAACCAACCUGAUUUCACUGUGAACAAUUCCUUAUCACCUCGAUAUACGAGCCUGAUAACGCUUCUUCUUUCAAGGAAAUAAAAUUAUUCAAAAUUAAUAAUUAGCCAGAAGCAAAUGGCAUUAACGUCGGGAAGGAAAACGUAUAUGAUUCAGGAUUCAAUUAUAGAUUCGUAUAUUUUCUAUGUGUUAUGUUUUUAGGCUUAAAAAUUACGUCAUGAGGCGAUAAAAGCAAGGAAUCGGACACGCCUUUCUGGCGCCGGCGCGAACCUUUGGGGACGUCUGAGGCUCACCGAAUAAGAGAAAUGCAUUGAAGGGUCCAGAGUAUCACACUAACCGGCUCGGUCUACAUCAUGUGGCACACAAGCCUGGCGAACGACCUCCAACGCAAACCUGUUACUUGUAACAGAAACUAGCACAUCGUGUACCGCUAAAUUAUGUAAAGAUCGAUUCAUUUACACUUAUCCGUAUUAAUAUUGCAUUAAUCUACGCUUUUUUUUAACGAAUAACAUAUCUUUCUCGACAAACGGAACACGGUAGCAAUAUGUAAGAAAUAAAAAUCAUCUCUCUCGCUCCGACAAAUUACGGAAAGAUGAAAUGAAAAGAGAGGCAAAUAUGCGUACGUCGCCGGCACACCUAACUAUGGCCGGACAUUACUCACUAUAAUAGGUAGAUAGUAAUGUAACUUGUACAGAGCCACUGAUAAAUGCUAGGAUCACAGUAAAAUCUUUCUAAACACAUUAUACAGACACGUAUUAACUAAAAUAAAACACAUAACACGACACCAAUAAAUUGCACAUAAUAUCUUACUUCUUCUCUCCGCAUUAUUUCCACUUGUAAUCGUUUGUGAUACUCCUCACAUUCGUCUUUAUAUUUCUCCAUUUCUUCUUUAGUUUGACGCAUUUUCUUUUUAAGAACAUCUAAAAUGGUUCCUUGUUGCAUAUUCGUCGUCAUUUUGACUACUUUUUCUUAUAACAAAUGCCUAAAAGCUAAAACUAUAGACACCUUCG